rnacentral:tmRNA from 1 species
GGGGAUGCACCGGUUUCGACGUGGGUUUUGAAGUUGGGGCUGCAUGUCGUGUUACUCUGGGUCACGUAAAAACUGGGGAAAUUUAAAACAAACGCAAACGAAGAAAAUUUAUUAGCUGCCUAGUGUAGCUUGUCCCUCUUAGUCUACCUGCCGAUUAAGAGCUGACACCAUUUAUGCAGGGAAUUGCUUUAGGGAUGUCUUGACCUAGAGUUGAUUAAUUAAGACUGGACAAAUUUGACACCUGUCACUCGGUAUCAAAGGAGUCGAGAACAAUAAAGAGAUGACUAAACAUGUAGAUGCAACGAUGAAUUGGCUUACGGACAGGGGUUCGACUCCCCUCAUCUCCACCA